AAACAGAUAAAGAGGCUUAGAGAUUGAUAGAGACAGAGAGGUUAUUUGCUUCGCAGAGAGAGAGAGAGAUAGAGAUAGAGAGAGGUGUUGGUUUCCGGUUGUUUGCUUGAUCUGUGCAGAAAGGGUAGAUAAUUCUGGGGCUUUUCGGAAUUGAAGGAGGACGAACACAGUAUUAAGUUUGGGUUACCUCUGGAGAAGCUACAUAGGUUGCUGCUGGGUUCUGAAGAUCUUUGUUGGCAAAACGAAUAUCAAUAGAUAUGGAAACUUACUCGAAUGCGGUGUUAGAUUUGCUGCUUUGCAGGGACCCUUGGCGUUCUAUGAGGACUUCAUCCCGAAUUUUGGACGGCUAGGAUCUUGAAAUGUGAUUAGGUUUCUAGCUUUGAGCAGGGAUUGAAGCAGAAUUUCCAUGGCAAGAGGAAGCAAAAUUCAAUCACAACUCUGAAUUUUCAAAGGAGCGAAUGAGAAACAGACAAUCUAUUCUGGAUCUGCUUGACAAAGGAACUGGAAGAGAAAGUUCAGAGUUUGCUGGUUUCAUCUUCAAUAGUUGUCGAUCGCAACCAUACCAAGUUUUUGGUGCAGUGCUGCAGGCACAUACCAAUUUCUUUCCAAAAAAAAAAAAGAAGAAAUAGACAUUGCAGCCUUCAAUGGGGAUCCCAUCAUUACAACUCAUGCAAGCAAGUUAAUGCUGUUGAAAUCAAAUUCACACCAUCCAGAAUAUUACAUACUAGCAAGUGAUUGUGUAUUCAUCAAUUGUUCAGUAACAGAAGUUGCAGUGUGUCUCUUUCCUCAUCAAAAGUGAAGUUGAAGGCAUAUGCUGAUCGAGCUUCAUGAGGAAGAAGCAGUUGAACUGACGUUCCAUAAUUAAAAGCAACUUCUUCAAAUGCAAGCAACUAAUGCAACAGUGACGAUAAUUGACAACUAUGUAUGGACCCCCAGCGGAUAUAUCACUCUUUUAGGUGGAAAUAGGAUUCCUCUGACACUAUCAGAGGCAAGAAAUCUGCAAGGAUAAAUAUACCUCCUCCUCUGUGCUCCAUAGCUCGGCUUCUUCUGUUGCCUCCCCUGCCACCUGUUGAUCUGCUGAGCAACCAUGGCGUGUCGAAAGCUGCGCAGACAGAAAAAGGAGAGACAGAGAGGGUUUUCUUCUCUUCUACCGGCCAACACUGCAUCAGUUUGCCUGACGUGCACAGAAAGAAGAAGAGGGGGACGAGAAGAAGAAGAUGAACUGGCUAAUUAGUAUUGAUGUGAAGCACCUAGCUUUUUUCAGGUUUUCAAUUCGUGUUUUUUUAUGCUUGAUUAGUUUUUGUGGUUUUGUGUGUUAAUUCGUUUUUCCUUUUCACGUCUUCAGAUCAACGCUUGCUAAUCAAAUUAAGCUUGCAGGAGUGCUAUCAAUUCUUCUUUGUUUAAGCAUUGGCUGAAGAACACCAAGAGUGAAAAUGGGUUCCAUGUCUUUUUAACACGAGUUCAGGUAAUUCAUUCCAUUCAUGUGGGUUAAUUGAUUAUGAUUUCCUCAUCAGUUGACAAAGUUGUACUGUUGUAGAAUCUGAAAUAUGGUUUUAGUAACAGGCUUAUAUCAUAUCCCUUUAAUUGUUUCUAAUUCUUUGAUUGAUAUUUUGGGUGGAUAUGUGCGGGAAGCAUAUAGGUUUUCUGAAAUUCCAAGCAGAUCAAUAAACAAAUAGGGGAAAAGGUGAAUCCAUCAAUGUCAAUCAGCUGCGUGCUUCUGUUGAAAUUGUACUUUACUUCAUCUAUUAUUUUGAUUUUUUGUUUUUCCAUAUGAAAUUAAACUUCAAGGUCGAUGUGAAUGUUGAGGACUGUAUCUCAGAUGAGCUAAUAAAAUAUAUCUGUGAUAGGUAUGUAAUUUGCUGCUCUUAUUAAAUGUUUUGGUUUCUUAGCAUUAAGCUGCAACUCGGAUAUGGUAUGUUCAUAGUUGGUCUAGGUUUAAUUAAGAAGUUUACUAGGAUGUGCUUCUCAUAGAUGUUCUUCCCUAUGUUUGUGUGUGCAAUAUUUCAUUGCAGAUUCAUUUGUGCCUUUAGGUUAGUGGAUCACUAAAAGUGGAUUUCAUAUGUUAUGAUUAAACCUAUGAUGCACGGAAACGCCAAAAUGGCCGCGUUUCUCGUAUCGAAACGGGAAACGGGUCGGAAACGCUCGGAAACGCGUAUCCUGAUUUGGAAACGGUUUGGAUACGUCCGUAUCCAAUCCGGAAACGUAAGAAUGUAAAUAAAUCGGAAACGGUUUGUAGAGUCGAGUCGUUUGAAUCGGCGAUCUGGGAAGGGGUUCGGGAGCAGACUUCGGUGACGCUGUGAAGAUCAGCAGCGGUGAAAGCUUGACGAACGAUGGUGGCAUCGCUGGUGGCCGGGUCGGAGGUCCAGAGGAGGAGGGGCUUUCUUAGUUUUUCCCCUCAACCUGAAGCAAAGGCUUGGUGAGGUCCGUGGAGCAUGUUAGCCGAACACCUUGAAGGCUUUGAGGAGGUCGAUGGCGUUGGAGAGGUCAGAUUGCCAGAGUUGCCCAUUGUUUUUGCAGAUAAGAAUGAAACUCAGAUAACAGAUCUGAGUCGGUGGAGACUGCAGAGAAGGAAAACAAUUCAAAAAUGUUUGAGGAUCGGGGCACGUGGAAUGAAUGGAAAUUAAAGAAAAGGGAUGAAUGGUAAUUAAAGAAAAGGAUAAUGGUCUAGGGGCAUGGUCUAUCUGUCAAGAUUGUCUGAGCACGUGGGAAGGUGGAAUAAAGGUAUGACGAAAGGAAUGAAAUUUCAAUUCCAUGUUUAAUAGAUAAGAUCACAAAGGGAAGGCAUGUUUGGACUUUGGAGUACAUUUCUUAACUAGCCAAUGUUUUUUAAAUUUGAGACUGAGUUAAGGAGAUUAAAGGUGCAGUCAAAUCAGUGGAGGAAGACCGCUGAGGCAGCUACUGUUAUUUUUUCAACAGGAAACAACGGGAAGUUUGUGGACAGAACAGGUUCCCAUGACAACCACUACAAUCCCUUGAGUUCACCUUAUUCAGAAGACUUGGACGAUGACUCGCAAGAGACAUGUUGAAGAAGAUUGGUGUGUUAUAGAAGAAGGGCCAAAAGUAGAUGGAAUUAUGCUACAGGUUUCUUAUCAUUAUCUGUUAUUGUUACGAUGGGUUCUCUAUGUUCUUUUAUUCCAGUACAAUAUGUUCUCUUCUUUUUAUUAUAUCGUCUCAUAACUUUGAACAUCAAACUUGGUUUAAUUGCCUUUUGUUUUACCAAAUUCAGAAAUACCCGCAGCAUCGCGCGGGGCUCCGUACCUAGUUAUACCUAUUUCACCAUGGAUUUUACGAUUAUA